rnacentral:lncRNA from 1 species
GCUUCUUCAUCUCAAGGCUGGUGCUGUUUCCUUGGUGGGGCUCCAGGUCAAGUGUGGUCUGCAUUAAGGUCCUCCCGGGUGGAUGCUUGUGAAUGACCUGGGUGUGCACAGAGCAGAGUGGGGCUCCAGAGCCUGUACAUGUUGCUGGGUGUGCAGUAAACACACAGAAAACAGUAUAUGCCCACCCUGCUCGUGAAGAGGGAGUUGCUGAGUCUACACUCUGUGCCAUCUACCAUGCAAUUCACCACAGUAAUUUCGAAUAGCUUCUUGGGUCUUGCAUCAUUUGUGAAAGUGAAGCAAACCUUCGUCUACUGUACAGAGACUGUAAGCACACCAAGGGGAGUUUCUGGACGACUAGAGGACAUCUGAGGAGCACGGCUAAGCCCCAAAGCUUCCUUAGGACUACUGUGAACCCCUAUACUUCUGCAGCUACAGUUCCAAAUUUCUGGGCUCUGUCCCAACAAAAUGUCUAGAAAAAUUUGCUCUAUUUUUGAUCCUCGUUUUUUUUUUUUUUUUUUUUUUCUCAUUUCAGAACAGUGAUGGCUUUUCCAGGUAAAGCAUCUUGUUACCUUAUAAGUUUCAUUAAAUAGAUGGCCUUUGAACUAGACCUUGCAGAAUGGGUAAAAUUUAUUUUGGAAAAGAAGUGAAAGAGGGCUAUCAGAGAGUGUUUUCAUGAAUGUAUAAGCCUGGAAUCUGGAUGUCUUUGAUAAGGAGCGAUAAAAGGGUACAUUUGGGUGUGGAUUAAUUCACUUACUCAGUAUAUAUAUAUAUAUAUAUAUAUAUAGAAACCACAAUUAGAUACUGGAAAUAUAGCAAAGGAUUAGACCUGGUCCAGCUCUCAUGAUGUUCAGAGACAGUGAUGGUUCCGGGGGCAGAGAGACGCAGUGGACAUCAAGAGGUGGGCUAAUUCAUUAUUUGAAGAAUCUUCAAUGACACACAAAGGAGUUUGAAUUUUAUCCCAUCACUACUCAUAACAGCACUUUUUUUGACACUAAUCACAUGCUGGGCAGUAUUCACUAUUUAUUAUUGUAACAACCUUAUGGUAUAGAGAGAUGUUUGUUAUCUCCAUUUUACUGACAGGGAGACUGAAGCAUGGAGUAGGUACCUAACUUGGCUAAGGACUCAGAGCUAAUAAGAGGUAGAGUCAGGAUUGAGUCCAGGUAUUUUGGCUUCAGAGUCUAUAGUCUUAUCAUUUGUAAAUAUAUAAUAUGUGGCUAAAGCGAAGCUUUUUUAUAUGAAAAAAGUAAAACAAGGUUAAUGAUGUUGGGAAAAAUCAUUGGAAGAUGCAGCAGUGUGUAUCAGAGCCUGGACUAGACUCCACAAGGCUUUAGGUCCAUUGCUGCUUCUGCUCCACAUAGAGUGUGCACUAGUGUGCAAAAACUUUGUGGAUGCACUUGGAUAAAUUAAGAGGAAUAUGUUUACACUACAAGAGGUGGUAAUGCUGCAGUCCUUUUUUUUUUUUUUUUUUUUUUUU